rnacentral:lncRNA from 1 species
CAUAUAAUUACUUUCACCAAUGCUUUUGCUGUUGAUGCACUAUCUUGAUGUACACAACUGUGUACACAGCACCUGAAAGGGUAAGCCCUGUUUUAUUAGCA